rnacentral:rRNA from 1 species
CCUGCGGAAGGAUCAUUGUCGAAACCUGCAAAGCAGAACGACCCGCGAACUAGUUUAUCACACUCGGGGAGGCAGGGCUAGCCUCUGUCCCUCGUACCCGGCUCGUUGCUUCCCCAUCUCCCCCUCGGGGGCCGAUGGGUGGGAGCGUGUCGGCAUUGUACCCUAACACCGGCGCGGGUUGCGCCAAGGACCAAUAAUUCUAUCGCGUCCCGCCUCCCUCGGGCAACCGGGGGAGCCGGCGAUGGCGUGUCGAUAUAUAACAAAACGACUCUCGGCAACGGAUAUCUCGGCUCUCGCAUCGAUGAAGAACGUAGCGAAAUGCGAUACUUGGUGUGAAUUGCAGAAUCCCGUGAACCAUCGAGUCUUUGAACGCAAGUUGCGCCCGAAGCCAUUUGGCCGAGGGCACGUCUGCCUGGGCGUCACGCAUCGCGUCGCCCCCUCCUCCUCCAUUUGGGACCGGGAGAGGGGCGGAUUCUGGCCCCCCGUGCGCCCUGCGUGCGGUCGGCCUAAAUACGGAGCCCGUGUCCGCGAAUGCCGCGACGAUUGGUGGUUUGACGCACGACUCCACGAGCUUCGGCUCAUGGCAUCGUGAAGCAUCGCGUCGCGUGCCCGAGUGGACCACGUCAAGCUCGAAGGACCCUAGCGAAGGGAAGGAGAGUGGGCAUCCCGUCUGGGAUCCUGUGAACCAACCCUAUCCGUUGCGACCCCAGGUCAGGCGGGACUACCCGCUGAGUUUAAGCAUAUCAAUAAGCGGAGGAAAAGAAACUUACAAGGUUCCCCU